rnacentral:sRNA from 1 species
GCUGGGUAUGGUGGUGCACACCUGUAAUCCUAGCAACUCAGGAGGCUGAGGCAGGAAGAUCAUGAAUUCAAAGCCAGCCUCCA